GUUAAAGCUGCUUAUGUCUUCCUACAGGAAAGGGCCAUGCAUUUGCCCGUCUCCAGGGAUACUAAGGACUGAACCAUGCAUCUGUUCAUCUCAUGGACACUAAGACAAGUUUCCUGACGUCUUCCUACAGCAUAGAGCUAUGCAUCUAUUAAUCUGCCUCGGUGUACUGCUUUAAUUCUUACGUCUUCCCACAGAACACGGCCAUGUAUCUGUUGUUCAUCUCCUCAUGUAUUAAGGACACAGCCAGGAAUCUAUUCAUCCACUAGGAUACCAAGAUAAGGUUGCUUUUGAGGUUGUUCAUCUGCAGGGAUACUAAUGUAAGGCUGCGGAUUCCCCACACCGUGAAACUCAGGACCUCGUGCUUGUGAGGAAGGCAAAGCGACACUGAGCUACCUCCCACCCGCUGAUGUCUUCCUACAAGACAGGGCCAUGUUUUCAGAUGCUAAGGUAAGGCUCAUUCUGUCUUCACAGAGGACAUGGCCAUCCAUUUGUUCAACUCCUCAUAU